ACUUGGGUUCAUCUUCAUGAGGUGUAAUGGCGCCGGGAUGCGCUCUCCUCUUCUCAUUUGCCAAUUUAUUGCAGAUCCCUCCUCAAAAAAGUUUUGGGACUAACUCAGCCCCAUGGAGAUCAAGGUGAAUUAGAAAAACAACAAAACAAAACAAGAUUCAUUUUAACAUCUCAUUUUUCUAUCUCCAACUUUCCCUCCCCUCCUCCCACCCCAGGAAGAAAAGACUACGUUUGUUUCUGGUGAUACAUUCAUUGUAGGUGGGUGGGUGACUUCUAGAAGAGGAAAAUCAAGAAGAUUUGGAGAAGGAGUCUUGGAAGCUCUGGUGAAGUUUUCCAAAACUGGGAAGGACAGAGUCUGCUCAGCCUGUGUUAGUGGAGAAGAGGGAAGGAAACUGGCUGGAGGCCGCUGGACCCACAGAGGACAAUAGACAAUCUCCUGCUCUAAGAAGGAAUCAGUGGCCUUAAGAAGACAAUCUUGAAAAAGGACCUAAGUGAUGGAUGCCCACUGGAUCCAAAGAGAGAAACUCUAUAGAAUUAUGAUCUAGGUUUGACUGACUCCUGGCAAGAAGCCCUACCCGCCAGCCAAUUUGGAUGAGCUCUUAUGCUCCAGAUCCAUCAUGAGAAGAACAUGCCCUGGAUUCCUGCUAUCCCUUUAGCCAUGGCUCCAAAAUUAACACACACAAGGAAGACCUGAGGUCAAUCCACAGCCUGGAUUCAAGUCACCUAAUACAUAGGAGAAUCAGAGCUACCCAGCCACACUCAAUCUACGUUAACUGAACCUCAGCUGACCUGCAGAUUUAUGAGUAUGAGAAUAAAGGCUUGUUAAUG
rnacentral:lncRNA from 1 species